AAUAGCCACUAGGGGAGCCUCUGACAUGCGGGGCUGAGAAAAAGAAGCGGAUUCUUUGACCCUUGGAACCUGAUACGGCAGCCCGAAGAAGUAAGGGCGUCACUGGAUUAUGCCAGCGUAGGGAAGUGGUCGAAUGCUAGC
rnacentral:ncRNA from 2 species